CUCCCUCCAGGCCUAAAUGAAUAAAGGCAUGACACUGAGAUUGAAGGCUAGUUCUACUUCAGAACCACAGAGACAUGAGCACCAGCAAGUUUGAGGUUGGAUAAGGAUCUUCAGAACUCCUCAGCUUCAGAUGGUCAAGCACUGCUUCCUCCCUUCUUCAACGGCAUCUCUAGCAUGUAUACUUCCCUUAAAUCCACCUUCGUAGCAUUUGCUGAUGGAAGAGGCACAACAGAGUCCAUGCCUUCACCUCCUCUGGCCAACUCUAAUCAUGAAUCUCCUGUGAAUCAGCUGGGAAACAUGCAGAAUAUGAGAUUGGGGCCCUCAUUCAUACUAACUGGAAUUUUCCUUGGCAAUGGUAGAACAGAAGCUUCUCCAUUCUUUACAGAUGAAUUUGCUUUAAGUAAGAUCUUCCCAGAGUACAAAAGAAAUUUAUUCGGAAAAUUUCAAACUAAUAUGGCCUUCUCACUGGAACUGGAUCCACCAUCCCUUUUGCUCAGUGUCGUCUUGUUUAUGUUUUAGAUCCUUUGCAAGGUGAGCUACACCUCUGAGAGGAGCUCCUGGAAAUUACCAGAUACUUAAUGUUGCCAGCUGUUACAGAUGGAGGUGAUGCACCUUGAUGAUGCAUAAGUACUGAGCCUGAAUCCUACAAAUGGGAAAAGGUGCUCAUAUCAGACUUAUGCAUUAGAUAUCAAACUACAAAAUACAAGUGCAGUUGAUACCUGUUUAGAUGAUGUAGAGCAAGGUAACAGAGUAUGUAUUAAAAGCAAAAAUUCCCAUGAAGCUGAACCGUUACUCUCUGCCAAAACCUCCCACUCUCAAGUUUUAAGAGCCAAUAAACCUUGUAUCUGUA
rnacentral:lncRNA from 1 species